AUUUAUUUAGUAUAACAAGUAUAUUUAACUUCCAAUUAAAUGGUUUAAAUAAUUUAAAAUAAAUA
rnacentral:tRNA from 1 species